rnacentral:rRNA from 1 species
UACGUAGGUGGCAAGCGUUGUCCGGAUUUAUUGGGCGUAAAGAGCGUGUAGGCGGCCUGACAGGUCUGCUGUGAAAACUCGAGGCUCAACCUCGAGAUGUCGGCGGAAACCGUCUGGCUAGAGUCCGGAAGAGGAGAGUGGAAUUCCUGGUGUAGCGGUGAAAUGCGCAGAUAUCAGGAAGAACACCUAUGGCGAAGGCAGCUCUCUGGGACGGUACUGACGCUGAGACGCGAAAGCGUGGGGAGCGAACAGG